CUGACGGAGCGACGCUGCGUGAAGGAUGACGGCCUGCGGGUUGUAAACUUCUUUUCUCGAAGAAGAAUAAAUGACGGUAUUCGAGGAAUAAGCAUCGGCUAACUCUGUGCCAGCAGCCGCGGUAAGACAGAGGAUGCAAGUGUUAUUCGGAUUGAUUGGGCGUAAAGCGUCUGUAGGCGGUUUGGAAAGUCUUUUGUGAAAUUCUUCAGCUCAACUGGGGGUCCGCAAAAGAAACUUCUAGGCUUGAGGGAAGUAGAGGUACAGGGAAUUUCCGGUGGAGCGGUGAAAUGCGUAGAUAUCGGAAGGAACACCAAUAUGGCGAAGGCACUGUACUGGGCUUUACCUGACGCUAAGAGACGAAAGCUAAAGGAGUGAUUAGGAUUAGAUACCCUAGUAAUUUUAGCCGUAAACGAUGGAAACUCACUGCCGAGCCGGUAUUCGGAGCGGUGGUCAAGCUAACGCGUGAAGUUUCCCGCCUGGGGACUACGCAUGCAAAUGUGAAACUCAAAGGGAUUGACGGGGACCCGCACAAGCGGUGGAGUAUGUGGUUUAAUUCGAUGCAACGCGAAAAACCUUACCAAGGUUUGAAAUCAUUUCAAAACUCUUUGAAAGAAGAGCCUCCUUCGGGAUGGAAUGACAGGUGGUGCAUGGCUGUCGUCAGCUCGUGUUGUGAAAUGUCAAGUUAAGUCUUGUAACGAGCGCAACCCAUGUCUUUUGUUGCUGUUUACAGUGCUUAAAAGAGACUGCCGCUCUACAGCGGA
rnacentral:rRNA from 1 species